GACGAACGCUGGCGGCGUGCUUAACACAUGCAAGUCGAACGGAAAGGCCCUGCUUUUGUGGGGUGCUCGAGUGGCGAACGGGUGAGUAACACGUGAGUAACCUGCCCUUGACUUUGGGAUAACUUCAGGAAACUGGGGCUAAUACCGGAUAGGAGCUCCUGCUGCAUGGUGGGGGUUGGAAAGUUUCGGCGGUUGGGGAUGGACUCGCGGCUUAUCAGCUUGUUGGUGGGGUAGUGGCUUACCAAGGCUUUGACGGGUAGCCGGCCUGAGAGGGUGACCGACCACAUUGGGACUGAGAUACGGCCCAGACUCCUACGGGAGGCAGCAGUGGGGAAUAUUGCACAAUGGGCGGAAGCCUGAUGCAGCAACGCCGCGUGCGGGAUGACGGCCUUCGGGUGGUAAACCGCUUUCGCCUGUGACGAAGCGUGAGUGACGGUAAUGGGUAAAGAAGCACCGGCGAACUACGG
rnacentral:rRNA from 1 species